rnacentral:lncRNA from 10 species
UCGGUCACUGCACAUCUGUUAUUCAGUUCACUCACAGACAGCAAACCAAGGGGUUGUGCUGUCUCCUUGUCUCCCAGGGAUAAACCCACAUGACAGUUUACAAAAACAGGUAAUCAUAAGAAGCAAAUGGCCCAGAUGAAACACAGCAAAAGAAUGAGAAGUGGUAACACUGGGAGUGAAAUUUGAACCAAGCGUAAAUGGAGUGAUCGUAGAAAUAGCUGACUGUGGAAUGUGGACACUCUCUGUAUCUGCAGCCUGGGAAGCUUAAAGAAGGUGAACUUACUGACACCAGUUAGAAAGUGACUGUGAUGAAACGAUGAAGAUGCUCCAGAGGAAGUGACACCAGCAAUAGGAAAAAAAAAACAAACCUCUCACUGAAGGAACUCUCGGAGAUAUUUCAUGACACAGAAGGCACAAAGGAUACAAUAUUGGCAACUAAUCGAAACUUAGAAAUGAUAUGACAGCUCACCAAGGCAUAGAAAAAGAUGCUUGCUCUAUCAUAAGUUAUAGAAUGAGAAGAAGCAGUAUAUCAGAAAACUCAAAUAUAACUCCACAACUUUUUCAAGAGUUUCUUUUUGUUUUCCAAUGGUAACGGGAGAGAAAAUAAGCUGUCAUUAUCGGAAUGAUCAAACACAGAGAGAAAAGAGGCAGAGGUGAGAAGAUGGAGAAGAUGAAUACAUUUGCUUUCAGCAAACCAAUGGAAGUCCAUUUGCAUGAUCUGAAAAGGAAAAUGAGAAGCUAAUUUUUCUAUACAAGGCAGAAUUUAAGAAAUACAAUUCCUAAGGACUCCAGUGGAUACAGCUCUGGUUCCUGGACUUCGUGUUUUGGCUUGGUCUUUCUGCUUUUUCAAUUUUGUCACUGGAGAGGAUAAUGAGACAUCUAAGUGGCAUAGAGGGCUGGAGUUCAGAAGAAACACAGGAUUCAAGAUAUGCCUUUCAGAGUGAAGACCAGAAACAUUAUUGGGGGUCAGGAUUCAGUGAUACCUCCAAAGGAGAAAAUGUGAAGACUGAAAUGCAGGGGUUGAGGACCAUUUUGUUAAAGGAAAGGGUAUAAUGAGAACCUGUUAACACAGAAGAAAUGGAGUUCUCUGUCAUUCAAGACAAAGAGCUGCAUCUGAGUCAAGGUAAUCUGCUCUGAAUAGUGCUUCAUCCAAAAAUAUCUCCUCUUUUUUUCCCAAUCAUCUUUAUUGUCUGGUUAUGCAAGUAAACCUUCUACCUCUUAAGCCUCAGGUUCCACAUCCAUAAAAUGAAUACAAUAUUACUAUCUACCUUCCAUGGCUGUGAUGAGGAUAUAGUGAGGCAAGGGGUGAUAUGCCUGGCACAGAGUACAAACCCAACCAAUGUGAGCUACCCUUAUCAUUGUCAUUAUUAUUAUUCGUCACAUUUGCCUCUGUUUAAUCAAUAAUCAUUCCUUUACAAGAUGAGUAUCCCAAACUUACUUCCAAAUACUUUGUCAUUUUUUUCACUCCUCACUUAGCCUUUCUGUCUGAUUCAAAUGGCACGGGGAAAGAGAGAAUGACUCAAACAUCACAGAUUGCUGUUACCCUGGCAUGGUUAAGAUAAUUAUGUCGCCAUCAGGAUACUGGUUUGACUCUGAAGUCUCAUGUUCAGUGGUUACUGUUUCCUCUCAGGGACUGUGCUUAAGGUUUAGAGAAAUCGUCGUCAUCUAGAUGAUCGUUGCUCAAUUGAAACAUUUAUUUGCUAUAUUAGUUUUCUAUUGCUGUGUAACAAAUUUAAUGCCUUUAAAC